AGCAGCCGCGGUAAUUCCAGCUCCAAUAGCGUAUAUUAAAGUUGCUGCAGUUAAAAAGCUCGUAGUUGAAUUUCGGGACCAAUAUGUCGGUCGUGCCUCGGUACGUACUGGCAUCGUUGGUUUCUCCCUUCUGACGAUCCAUGAUGUCAUUUAUUUGGUGUCAUGGGGAAUCAGGACUGUUACUUUGAAAAAAUUAGAGUGUUUAAAGCAGGCUCACGCUUGAAUACAUUAGCAUGGAAUAAUGAAAUAGGACGUUUGAUUCUAUUUUGUUGGUUUCUAGGAUCGACGUAAUGAUUAAUAGGGAUAGUUGGGGGCAUUAGUAUUCAAUUGUCAGAGGUGAAAUUCUUGGAUUUAUUGAAGACUAACUACUGCGAAAGCAUUUGCCAAGGAUGUUUUCAUUAAUCAAGAACGAAAGUUAGGGGAUCGAAGACGAUCAGAUACCGUCGUAGUCUUAACCAUAAACUAUGCCGACUAGGGAUCGGAUGAUGUUAAUUUUAUAAUGACUCA
rnacentral:rRNA from 1 species